CUCGGUGAGGCCUUCGGACUGGCCCAGGGAGGUCGGCAACGACCACCCAGGGCCGGAAAGUUGGUCAAACCCGGUCAUUUAGAGGAAGUAAAAGUCGUAACAAGGUCUCCGUAGGUGAACCUGCGGAGGGAUCAUU
rnacentral:rRNA from 1 species